GACGAACGCUGGCGGCGUGCCUAAUACAUGCAAGUAGAACGCACAGUUUAUACCGUAGCUUGCUACACCAUAAACUGUGAGUUGCGAACGGGUGAGUAACGCGUAGGUAACCCGCCUGGUAGCGGGGGAUAACUAUUGGAAACGAUAGCUAAUACCGCAUAAUAUUAAUUAUUGCAUGAUAAUUGAUUGAAAGAUGCAAUCGCAUCACUACCAGAUGGACCUGCGUUGUAUUAGCUAGUAGGUGAGGUAACGGCUCACCUAGGCGACGAUACAUAGCCGACCUGAGAGGGUGAUCGGCCACACUGGGAGUGAGACACGGCCCAGACUCCUACAGGAGGCAGCAGUAGGGAAUCUUCGGCAAUGGACGAAAGUCUGACCGAGCAACGCCGCGUGAGUGAAGAAGGUUUUCGGAUCGUAAAGCUCUGUUGUAAGAGAAGAACGGGUGUGAGAGUGGAAAGUUCACACUGUGACGGUAUCUGACCAGAAAGGGACGGCUAACUACGUG
rnacentral:rRNA from 1 species